rnacentral:rRNA from 1 species
ACUCCUACGGGAGGCAGCAGUGGGGAAUAUUGGACAAUGGGCGCAAGCCUGAUCCAGCCAUGCCGCGUGUGCGAAGAAGGCCUUAGGGUUGUAAAGCACUUUAAGCAGGGAGGAAGGCCUUGUAGUUAAUACCUGCAAGGAUCGACGUUACCUGCAGAAUAAGCACCGGCUAAUUUCGUGCCAGCAGCCGCGGUAA